rfam:Ovis aries breed Texel chromosome 9, whole genome shotgun sequence.
UCCCUGGAGGUUCAGUGGUUAGCACUCAGCACUUUCACUGCUGAGGGCCUGGGUCAAUCCCUGGUCAGGGAA